rnacentral:lncRNA from 1 species
CUGAGCAGAAUAUCAAAGAGACCGUCAUACCAUCAGAGUUGCAACCUGGUCCUGAGUUUUCUGUUUCUACGAAUCAGACUGAGAAUGGUUCUGGAAAACCUGGUAAUGAAGUUCCUGUUUCUAUGAAUCAGACAGAGAAUUAUUCUGAAAAAGUCGGUGAGGAAGUUCCUGCUUGUAUUAAUCAGGCAGAGAAUGUUUCUAAAAAGGCUGGUAAUCAAGUUCCUGCUUUUAUGAAUCAGACACAGAAUAAUUCUGAAAGAGACGAUGAUCGUGCUUCUGCUUUUUUGAAUCCGACAGGGAAUGAUUCUGAAAAACCUGGCGCUCAAGUUCCUGCUUUUGUGAAUCAGACAGAGAAUGAUUCUGAAAAAACAGGUGACCAAGUUCCUGCUUUUAUGAAUCAGACACACAGUGAUUCUGAACAAAAUGGUGCUCUUGAUGUCAAGACUAAGAUGGAGAGUGAGACGAUGAACACACAUAUAGAGAAUGGCAGCAACUCAUUGGAGUCAGAUGUGAAGGCAGUUCAUUUGGAAGAUAAUCGCAUUAUUGGGACACCCUUGAAACAAGAAAAGGCUGAGGGAGAACAACCAGCUCCCAUCGAGGGUCCUAAGCAGUCUUUUACAUUUGACCACUACAUAGAUGGUGAUGAUUCUGGAACUGAGGAGGAACAAGCUGCUUUCAUAAAGGAGCUGGAGAAUUUCUUUAGGGAGAGGGGCAUGGAGUUCAAGCCACCAAAGUUUUAUGGGGAAGGACUAAAUUGCCUCAAGUAAGUCUCAAAUAAUCAUCUUCAGCCUUUCUCUUGAAUAUCUUUGCCCAAGUCUUUACUGAAAUAAGUUUCUUUUAAUUUUUCUUUGCCAGGUUGUGGAGAGCAGUAACUAAAUUGGGUGGUUAUGACAGGGUAUGAGUGCUACCAUCUCUUCUAUGAGUUAUUUACCAUAAAAAUUUGCUGUGAACUAUAUAGCAUAGCCUGCUUUUACCAAUCAGCAUUCCACCAUUUGAGAUUGAGGUAUUUGUAUAAGGUGCUACAUGGCUUUUCUUUUAGGAUUUCUUGCAUGUAUACCCUCCUAAACAUUCAAAUUUGCAUGAAUAUCCUUUCAAAAUUGAUAUUUGUAUGUAUACCCUCAUAAAAUACUUAUUUUGCAUGUAUAUCCUUCUUUUUUCUUAUUUUUUUGCAUAUGUACCCACAUCAUUUAAUGCCGUUAAAAAAAUUAAUGGUUUAAAAUUUAAAUGACUAAAAUAUCCUUAUGGGUAGAUAUGCAAAAAAAAAUUUAUAAGGAUAUAUAUAUAAAUUACAAUUUCAUGAGGGUAUUCAUGCAAAUUUGAAUGUUUAGAAGGAUAUACAUGCAAAAAAAAUUUAAUUUAAUUUUUAUCUAUUUCAUCUAGAUGGAUUCAGGCCCUCUACUCUAUAUAUAGUAAUANNNNNNNNNNNNNNNNNNNNAUGUAAGAUGGGAUGAUUAUGUACAUCUUAUAACAACAUGAUAUACCUUAUAUACGUCGCAAAAAUAUUUUCGAUUAAAUUUUUUAAAAUAAAAUAAAAGAUUAUAAAUUUUUAUUGUUAUAUAAUGUCCAAAUCCAUAACUAUGUCCAUUUUAUGCAAAUGUACAAACUAUUCAUCUAAUAUCAGGUUUAGAUAUUUUUCUUAAAAGUAUAUUAUUAUACAUUAGAGAAAACAUGGAUGGUUACGAUCUGUUUAUUUUUUAGAUAAAAUAAUUUUGAUCUAUCAUUUGAUAAAAAGGUCAUUUUAUCUAUGUAAAUUAAUAAAUUAAGUAAAUUUAUUAUUUUAGUGUAUAUGUUAAUUUUUUUUUAUUAGAAUAAGGAAAGAAUUAACAAACCAAGAGAGGUGUAUUUAUGUUAAUGGGUUUUUUGUGUGUAUAUCCUUUCAAAUAUUCAAAUUUGCGUGAAUAUCCUCAUAAAAUUACUAUUUGCAUAUAUAUCCUUAUAAUUUUUUUUUUUGCAUGUCUAUCCAUAAGGAUAUUUUAGUCAUUUUAAUUUUAAACCAUUAAUUUUUAACAGUGUUAGAUGAUAUGGGUACGUAUACAAAAAAAAAGGUAUUUAUGAGGGUAUACAUGUAGNNNNNNNNNNNNNNNNNNNNAUAUAUCCUUAUAAUUUUUUUUUUUGCAUGUCUAUCCAUAAGGAUAUUUUAGUCAUUUUAAUUUUAAACCAUUAAUUUUUAACAGUGUUAGAUGAUAUGGGUACGUAUACAAAAAAAAAAGGUAUUUUAUGAGGGUAUACAUGUAGAUAUUAAUUUUGAAAAGAUAUCUAUGCAAAUUUGAAUAUUUGGGAGGAUAUACAUGUAAUUUUUUUUUAUGAUCUGUUUUUGGAAGCAAUGACAUCUGCCAGUUAAUGAUAUUUGUGGGGAAUACCACUGGAGUGAAAGAUGAGUUACCUGGGUGUCCAUGGCUGUGUUUAAGAGUUUUCUUUUGUCUUAGAACUUUUCUUAUCGAUAGGUGGUUUCAGUGCUCGUGUUUAUAUUUGAUAUUGAUUAUGUGAAGCACUGAAUGCCAAUCAGUUUUUUGGUUAGUGCUUAGCCAUUACUUUUUCAACCUUUGAAGUUGUUUGUACUUUUUAUUGGCUUAUGAGUCCGUAGAGGCAAGCAGAUAAUCUGGUCAUGAAAGAACCUCCAGUUCUUGAGUAUUGGGUGGGUCUGCUGAUAUAGCACCAAGAUUCUAUAGCUGCAAUACAUGGAAUGCUGAGGGGCAUUGACAUGUUCUCAUAAAUUGGUGCAAAUGCAUGUGUCCUGUCCUACUAGCCAGAAGCUGUAUUAGUGGUUUUUUACCCUCUGAAUGUGUUUUUUCCAUUACCAAUACACUGUUAGUAGCCAUUUUUCAUGCAUGCAUCGCACAUCUUUAGGUAGCAGCACUAUGCUGCUUAGUGUCAUUCUCUUUCUUUUGGCAACAUCCGUCUGCCUCCUUUCCGUGUUCUUCUCUUUAUGAUUCUCAUUCAUGUGGAAAUGUGACAACAUGUGUCUACCUUUUAGAGAAACUGUCAAACAAAGGUGAAAAUUGAGGAAGGUAAAUAACUGUCUCUGGACAUACAUGGCCUGUCAUUUGCUAUAGGUUUUUCAGUAUUCAGUGAUUGAUAUUCUACCCACUUAGUUACUCUUUUGUGAUUUUUGGCUAAUAUUAUUUCUGUCAAAUUUUUUCUCUAGGUGACAUCUUGCAAAUUAUGGCGUCAAGUGGGAGAGUCGUUCAAACCUCCAAAGUAAGAUUUUAUCGUUCUUCAUUUCCUUUGUCUGUGCAGGCACGUGUGUGCACUAUAGAUGUGCAUGUUCUAAAUAUUCACAAGUGAAUAUGAAUAAUAUUAACUGUAUCAAUAGCUGAAACUGGUCCAAACUGCAUUUUUUAAAACUUCUGUUAUGAUUCAAAUUCUUUCUCUACAUAUAUAGCCUUCUACAUUAUCUGCAAGUUAGUAUGAACUGGUCAAAACCAAUAAAACUAGAAUUUUUACACCAAGUUGAGUGACAAAAUUCAGAUGGCUGUUUCUGGGUUUGUCAGUCAAUCAUGUUAUUUGUGAAAAUAUUGGGCAGGAGGAACAGGAGACAAGUGUUUUCCCUCCCUUUUUUUCCAAAGAUCUUUGUUGCUUCUAUAAUAAGGCUGCAAAUGGGUUGGGUUGACCUGUGACCCAACUCGAUUAGGAUCCGAGUUUUUCGGAUUGGAGCCAAAUUAUACAUAGACAUGAUGCAACCCGAAUGACCCGUUGGGUCGAAAAUUUUGGCCGUAGACCCGACUCAAUCUGAUCCUCUAUUGGAUUGGGUCUAGUCUAACAUUAGGAUCCGAUCAAAGAAUUGGAUCAGGGUGGACCCGACCCAGUCCGACCUGAGCCAUUGGCACCCCUAUUAUAUGAGAAACAGACCUAAAUUACUAUACCUCUGUUUGACAUUCGAAAUUUUGAAGAUUGCAUGUAAUACAAUUCAAGUAGCAAAACAUAUCAUAAAUUACCAUUAACAAUAUCCUGUCCAUAAUAGAAAUAACAUGAGCAACAUCUAAAGUGAUCCACUUAUAGAAAGUUUUUACUGCUGGCUUGUGUGAUAUUUGAUUGAUAAAAACUAUUAAAUAGGGGAUAAACAAAUGCAACAACAAGGAACAGGAAGGAAGAACAUCAGAAGUUCAUACAUUUUAUCAUGAUGCUUGACCUUUUAUACAAAACCAAGUAAAUGGAGGCUUAACCAAAGGUAUAAUGACUUCCAUAUAGUGCGAUGCUCAGGGUGAUGGAAUUGAUUCUUUGGUUGCUAGUUCUAGUAAAGAUCACAAGUCCAUAUUUCUGGAAAGUCUGGUUCCAAAUCCUACAGCAGGUGGACUGAGAAGUGCCUGGAUGGUUCAAUUAACUAUCAAUAAAAAGGGUAAAAUGAUUUUUUUUCUACUUCUUAGUUAUAUAUCUCUCUACGCUAGUUAAGAAAUCCAGCCACUCUCACAUAUUCAGAUGUUUCUCAUCUGAACCGUAGUCAACAAGAUAGUGUGUGGAUGGUGAUAUAUGUUUUCUCAUGGUUGACAGUGUAUGUUCUAUCAUACAUGAUUGUCGUGCUCAAGUCUGCUACAGGAUAAGUGAAACUUAGAAUCUUGAACAAAUUAGUAGCAUUAGCUAUAACUGAUGUCAUGUUCCACUGAACUCCUGGAUGGCAUUGUUUACGCAGGACAUGUACAACUGUCUCUUGGUCAUUUCGAGGUUUUUAUGAGAAGGUAAUUUCUGAAACUUAAUGAAUUUGCUGUGGAUGCUAAGAUAUAUUGUAUUAUGCUUUCACUAUGACAUAUUUUCAGAUGUUCCCUUCUUUUUUCCUUCUAAUAUAAGAUGCAAAUUUUAUUAAUUUUAUGUGGAAUUCUUGUCCACCUGCUUUUUG